rnacentral:rRNA from 1 species
UACGUAGGGCGCAAGCGUUGUCCGGAAUUAUUGGGCGUAAAGAGCUCGUAGGCGGCUUGUCACGUCGGGUGUGAAAGCCCGGGGCUUAACCCCGGGUCUGCAUUCGAUACGGGCUAGCUAGAGUGUGGUAGGGGAGAUCGGAAUUCCUGGUGUAGCGGUGAAAUGCGCAGAUAUCAGGAGGAACACCAACGGCGAAGGCAGCUCGCUGGGACGGUACUGACGCUGAGGCGCGAAAGCGUGGGGAGCGAACAGG